AUUGAACGCUGGCGGCAGGCUUAACACAUGCAAGUCGAGCGAGCGGCGGACGGGUGAGUAAUGUCUGGGAAACUGCCUGAUGGAGGGGGCUAACUACUGGAAACGGUAGCUAAUACCGCAUACCAUCGGAUGUGCCCAGAUGGGAUUAGCUAGUAGGUGGGGUAAAGGCUCACCUAGGCGACGAUCCCUAGCUGGUCUGAGAGGAUGACCAGCCACACUGAAACUAUGACACGCGCCGGACUCCUACGGUGGGCCGCAGUGGGGAAUAUUGCACAAUUGGCGCAAGCCUGAUGCAGCCAUGCCGCGUGUAUGAAAAAGGCCGUCGAGUUGUAAAGUACUUUCAGCGGGGAGGCGUUACCCGCAGAAGAAGCACCGGCUAACUCCGUGCCAGCAGCCGCGGUAAUUC
rnacentral:rRNA from 1 species